CCUACGGGUGGCAGCAGUGGGGAAUAUUGGACAAUGGGGGAAACCCUGAUGCAGCGACGCCGCGUGAGUGAAGAAGUAUUUCGGUACGUAAAGCUCUAUCAGCAGGGAAGAAAAUGACGGUACCUGACUAAGAAGCCCCGGCUAACUACGUGCCAGCAGCCGCGGUAAUACGUAGGGGGCAAGCGUUAUCCGGAUUUACUGGGUGUAAAGGGAGCGUAGACGGCAGCGCAAGUCUGGAGUGAAAUGCCGGGGCUCAACCCCCGGACUGCUCUGGAAACUGUACGGCUGGAGUGCAGGAGAGGUAAGUGGAAUUCCUGGUGUAGCGGUGAAAUGCGUAGAUAUUAGGAGGAACACCAGUGGCGAAGGCGGCUUACUGGACUGUAACUGACGUUGAGGCUCGAAAGCGUGGGGAGCAAACAGGAUUAGAUACCCCAGUAGUC
rnacentral:rRNA from 1 species